GGGCCGCUAGCUCAACUGGCAGAGCAACUGACUCUUAAUCAGUAGGUUCCAGGUUCGAUUCCUGGGCGGCUCA
rnacentral:tRNA from 1 species